GUCUAUAGCCAUGCUACCCUGAACAAGCCCGAUCCUGUCUGAUCUCGGAAGCUAAGCAAGGUCGGGCCUGGUUUGUGCUUGGAUGGGAGACUACUUAGAAAGACCAAGUGCUGUAGGCA
rnacentral:rRNA from 1 species